GACGAACGCUGGCGGCAUGCCUAAUACAUGCAAGUCGAGCGCUUUAAUUUCACCGGGUGCUUGCACCUAUCGGAGUUAAGGAGUGGCGGACGGGUGAGUAACACGUGGGUAACCUGCCCAUAAGAGGGGGAUAACAUUCGGAAACGGAUGCUAAUACCGCAUAUUUCUAAUCGUCUCCUGACGAAUGGAAAAAGAAGGUGGCUUCGGCUACCGCUUAUGGAUGGACCCGCGGCGUAUUAGCUAGUUGGUGAGGUAAUGGCUCACCAAGGCGAUGAUACGUAGCCGGUCUGAGAGGAUGAACGGCCACAUUGGGACUGAGAUACGGCCCAG
rnacentral:rRNA from 1 species